rnacentral:rRNA from 1 species
AACGAACGCUGGCGGCAUGCCUAACACAUGCAAGUCGAACGAUGCCUCCGGGCAUAGUGGCGCACGUGUUCGUAACGCGUGGGAAUCUUCCCUUUGGUUCGGAAUAACUCGCCUAAAGGCGAGCUAAUACCGGAUGAUUACGUAAGUCCAAAGAUUUAUCGCCCAAGGAUGAGCCCGCGUAGGAUUAGCUAGUUUGUGGGGUAAAGGCCCACCAAGGCGACGAUCCUUAGCUGGUGUGAGAGGAUGAUCAGCCACACUGGGACUGAGACACGGACAAGACUACUACGGGAGGCAGCAGUGGGGAAUAUUGGAAAAUGGGAGAAAGCCUGAUAAAGAAAUGCCGCGUGAGUGAUGAAGGCCUUAGGGUUGUAAAGCUCUUUUACCCGGGAUGAUAAUGACAGUAACGGGAGAAUAAGCUCCGGCUAACUCCGUG